rnacentral:rRNA from 1 species
CCUACGGGUGGCAGCAGUGAGGAAUAUUGGUCAAUGGACGAGAGUCUGAACCAGCCAAGUAGCGUGAAGGAUGACUGCCCUAUGGGUUGUAAACUUCUUUUAUAUGGGAAUAAAAUGUUCCACGUGUGGGAUUUUGUAUGUACCAUAUGAAUAAGGAUCGGCUAACUCCGUGCCAGCAGCCGCGGUAAUACGGAGUAUCCGAGCGUUAUCCGGAUUUAUUGGGUUUAAAGGGAGAGUAGGUGGAUUGUUAAGUCAGUUGUGAAAGUUUGCGGCUCAACCGUAAAAUUGCAGUUGAAACUGGCAGUCUUGAGUACAGUAGAGGUGGGCGGAAUUCGUGGUGUAGCGGUGAAAUGCUUAGAUAUCACGAAGAACUCCGAUUGCGAAGGCAGUUCACUGGACUGCAACUGACACUGAGGCUCGAAAGUGUGGGUAUCAAACAGGAUUAGAUACCCUAGUAGUC